rnacentral:rRNA from 1 species
AGUGAACGCUGGCGGUAGGCCUAACACAUGCAAGUCGAACGGCAGCACAGUAAGAGCUUGCUCUUACGGGUGGCGAGUGGCGGACGGGUGAGGAAUACAUCGGAAUCUACUUUUUCGUGGGGGAUAACGUAGGGAAACUUACGCUAAUACCGCAUACGACCUACGGGUGAAAGCAGGGGAUCUUCGGACCUUGCGCGAUUGAAUGAGCCGAUGUCGGAUUAGCUAGUUGGCGGGGUAAAGGCCCACCAAGGCGACGAUCCGUAGCUGGUCUGAGAGGAUGAUAAGCCACACUGGAACUGAGACACGGUCCAGACUCCUACGGGAGGCAGCAGUGGGGAAUAUUGGACAAUGGGCGCAAGCCUGAUCCAGCCAUACCGCGUGGGUGAAGAAGGCCUUCGGGUUGUAAAGCCCUUUUGUUGGGAAAGAAAAGCAGCAGGUUAAUACCCCGCUGUUCUGACGGUACCCAAAGAAUAAGCACCGGCUAACUUCGU